rnacentral:rRNA from 1 species
UACGUAGGGUGCGAGCGUUGUCCGGAAUUACUGGGCGUAAAGAGCUCGUAGGUGGUUUGUCGCGUUGUCCGUGAAAACUCACAACUCAAUUGUGGGCGUGCGGGCGAUACGGGCAGACUGGAGUACUGCAGGGGAGACUGGAAUUCCUGGUGUAGCGGUGGAAUGCGCAGAUAUCAGGAGGAACACCGGUGGCGAAGGCGGGUCUCUGGGCAGUAACUUACGCUGAGGAGCGAAAGCGUGGGGAGCGAACAGG